GAGAGACAGACCUUUGUUGUUUAAGCCACUGAGUAUAAAUGAUUGCUGUUCAGGCUCAUCAAACCACCACCUGUGGGCCAGUUGCCUGUUUUGAUAAAAUUUUACUAGAACAUAGGGAAGACAUUUGUUUCUGUGUUGUCUGUGUCUGCGUUCAUGCUAGAACUGAAUUGACUAAUUACAACAGAGACCAUAUGGCCUGCCAGCUGAAAAUAUUUACUAUCACUCUUCAAAAAAAAGCUUGUUGACCUCUGACCUAGGCUAUCCUAACUGUGAUAGAGCUGAAAGUCUUUGAUAAGUGUCCUUUUAUGGCUACUUCCUGUUUUGUACACAACACAAAAGAUAUAGUAGCUAGCUAGCUAGCUUCCAAGAUGGCAGCGGUGAUCCCCAACCCUGAACACAAGGAUAUUCACAUCUCUGUGCACUUCCUUCCCACACUGAGCAGGGCUGACUUGUGUAACCAAUGUGGAAGUAAUGGAGUGUGACUUCCACGUUUGGGUCAUUAAAGAUCGUGUGACUCCCAUCUGCCUCUCUCUGAGACCACUCACUCUGGGAGAAGCCACUACCAUGUUCCAAGGGCACUUGAAGCCUUGGAGAAGCCACAUGGUGAGAAAACGAGGCCUCCUGACAACAGUUAUGUGGGUCAAGCCCUCAGAUGAUUGCAGCCUCAGCCAAGGUGUUGACUACAUGAGUGCUCUGAGCCCAAAUCACCCAGCCCUUCCAAAUUGCAGAGAAGAUUGAGCUAGAAGUGUUUUCUUCCCCCAGAGCACACUGCUGAUAUUUCUUGGCUCAUCUCACUGAGACCAGACAUGGACCCCCUGCACACAGGGUCAUAGGAUUUGUUCAGCUGUGACCAAGAAUCUCCAGUUCUAUGGCAUGGUAGCUGAAAUGGAAAACUGCAUUUUUUACCUUGACACCUCCUCCAUCCUAGUUUUUCAGGAUUGAUGAUUGGGGAGCCAAGAUACGGAAGUAGCCCAAGUGUCCGUCCGUAGACGAGUGGAUACAGAAGAUGUGGAGAUACAUACGAUGGAAUAUUACUCAGCCAUAAGAAAGGAUGAAAUCUAGCCAUUGGCAACGACAUGAAUGGACCUUGGGGGUAUUAUG